rnacentral:SRP_RNA from 1 species
GCUGGGUGCAGUGGCAUCUGUCUGUAGUCCAGCUAUUCAGGAGGCUAAGGCAAGGAGGAUUGCCUUAGUAGUUCUGGACUGCAGUGCCCUAUGCUGAUCCUUUGUCUGCACUUAGUUUGGCAUCAAUAUGGUGACCUCCUGGAAGUGAGGGGGACCACCAAGUUGCCUAAGGAAGGGUGUACUGGCUCAGGUUGGAAGUGGAGCAGGCCAAAACUUUCGUGUUGAUCAGUGGUGGGAUCAUGCCUGUGAAUAGCCACUGCACUCCAGCCUGGGCAACAUAGUGAGACCCCCUCU